rnacentral:rRNA from 1 species
GAUGAACGCUGGCGGCGUGCCUAAUACAUGCAAGUCGAGCGAACAGAUGAGGAGCUUGCUCCUCUGACGUUAGCGGCGGACGGGUGAGUAACACGUGGAUAACCUACCUAUAAGACUGGGAUAACUUCGUGAAACCGGAGCUAAUACCGGAUAAUAUAUUGAACCGCAUGGUUCAAUAGUGAAAGACGGUUUUGCUGUCACUUAUAGAUGGAUCCGCGCCGCAUUAGCUAGUUGGUAAGGUAACGGCUUACUAAGGCAACGAUGCGUAGCCGACCUGAGAGGGUGAUCGGCCACACUGGAACUGAGAAACGGUCCAGACUCCUACGGGAGGCAGCAGUAGGGAAUCUUCCGCAAUGGGCGAAAGCCUGACGGAGCAACGCCGCGUGAGUGAUGAAGGUCUUCGGAUCGUAAAACUCUGUUAUUAGGGAAGAACAAAUGUGUAAGUAACUAUGCACGUCUUGACGGUACCUAAUCAGAAAGCCACGGCUAACUACGUG